rnacentral:rRNA from 1 species
UACGUAGGGACCAAGCGUUGUUCGGAUUUACUGGGCGUAAAGGGCGCGUAGGCGGCGUGGUAAGUCACUUGUGAAAUCUCUGAGCUUAACUCAGAACGGCCAAGUGAUACUGCUGUGCUUGAGUGUGGAAGGGGCAAUCGGAAUUCUUGGUGUAGCGGUGAAAUGCGCAGAUAUCAGGAGGAACACCGAUUGCGAAGGCAGCUCGCUGGGACGUAACUGACGCUGAGACGCGAAAGCGUGGGGAGCAAACAGG